UCCAGUACUAAGUCAGCUGACCAGGCGCUGUGUGCUUGGCUCAGUGUUACAGUGCUGGUAGAUGAAGUCUCUGUUGUUAGUCUCGGCCCGGCAGGUUCUGUUUUAGAGUCUGCUGCUGAUGUGCUGCUGCAGAGCGCGGCCCAGUGAGAGUGGCUGGUUCUGGUUCACCAUCAGGACGGGCCUAGUACAGGGCCGCACACU